CCCUUAGAUGUUCUGGGCCGCACGCGUGCUACACUGAGUGGAUCAGCGGGUCAGGUUGCGCGAAAGUGUUUCCUAAUCUUUAAAUCCGCUCGUGAUGGGGAUUGACGGUUGCAAUUUUCCGUCAUGAACGAGGAAUACCUUGUAAGCGCGGGUCAUCAUCCCGCGCUGAAUACGUCCCUGCCCUUUGUACACACCGCCCGUCGCUCCUACCGAUUGAAUGGUCCGGUGAGGCCUCGGGAUUGUGGCCAGUUUCCUUCAUUGGGAGUUGGCUGCGAGAACUUGUCCAAACCUUAUCAUUUAGAGGAAGGUGAAGUCGUAACA
rnacentral:rRNA from 1 species